CACUGUGGAAUUCGCCCUUAGAGUUUGAUCCUGGCUCAGAACGAACGCUGGCGGCGUGCUUAACACAUGCAAGUCGAACGCGAAAGGGACUUCGGUCCUGAGUAGAGUGGCGCACGGGUGAGUAACGCGUAGAUAACCUGUCUUCAUGUCUGGAAUAAUACGUCGAAAGGUGUACUAAUACCGGAUAUUCUUGCUUUUCACAAGUUAGGUAAGCAAAGGUGGCCUCUGACAUAAGCUACCGCAUGAUGAGGGGUCUGCGUACCAUUAGCUAGUAGGUGGGGUAAUGGCCCACCUAGGCUACGAUGGUUAACGGGUCUGAGAGGAUGAUCCGUCACACUGGCACUGGAACACGGGCCAGACUCCUACGGGAGGCAGCAGUGAGGAAUAUUGCGCAAUGGGGGCAACCCUGACGCAGCGACGCCGCGUGAGUGAGGAAGGCCUUCGGGUCGUAAAGCUCUGUCAAAGGGAAAGAAGUGCAUAGUGGUUAAUACCCAUUAUGUUUGGACGGUACCCUUAAAGGAAGCACCGGCUAAC
rnacentral:rRNA from 1 species